rnacentral:rRNA from 1 species
GAUAAACGCUGGCGGCGUGCAUAACACAUGCAAGUCGAACGAAGUGGCGAACGGGUGAGUAACACGUGAGUAACCUGCCUUACACAAGGGGAUAGCCUUUGGAAACGAAGAAUAAUACCCUAUAGUGUAAGAUGGACUUGCGUCUGAUUAGCUAGUUGGUGAGAUAAAGGCCCACCAAGGCAACGAUCAGUAGCCGGCUUGAGAGAGUGUACGGCCACAUUGGGACUGAGACACGGCCCAAACUCUACGGGAGGCAGCAGUGGGGAAUUUUGCACAAUGGGGGAAACCCUGAUGCAGCGACGCCGCGUGAUUUAGAAGGCCUUCGGGUUGUAAACCGCUUUCAGCCAUGACGCGGUAGUGGCAGAAGAAGCACCGGCUAACUACGUGCCAGCAGCCGCGGUAAUUC